GCCCAUCCAAACAAGUGCGAUUUGCGGGAAAAUUAGACGAUCUCAAGCGACAACAUCAGUCCAGAGAUCCGGCUCAUGAGCGCGGAAGCUUGUCGCGUGCACACCUGCUGUGGCGCUCCAUCUCUAGAGGAGAGAAGCACGAGAGCCCCGCGUGCUCAACCUGACCUCAGCUCGAUUGGACUGUGAUGUCUGUAUUAACAUCUGUGAGAGACAGCAGUCAGUCCUCAUGAACCCAGCCUGUCUGCUUUGAUUUUCCCCUGUUCAGUCCUACUCGGGCACGUUCACGGACGCCUGCUCCACGUAGAAGAGGAAGGACGAGCAGGCACUCUGCAGAAUCCUCUCAUUAAGAUGACAGGCCCAACCAUGGCAACAAUUAACUCCAUUCAGCCACAAUUCAUCCCUCUUUUCAGGGUGCACAGAAAAGAUGAGAGGAGACGUGCUGGUCAGACUUAGCUGAGUGUUAGCCGCGCUCUGUGCAGGAUAAUCUGAGGUACUGACGAAAUGAAUGACGCUGAUGGAGGUCUGUCCGCAGCAUAUCCAACAGGAUAUCCCAUUCUAGGGAUGGACUGGCCAUAGGGAGCACCAGGACUUCCUGCUGGGCUGGUCAACAUAUGGAGUGCUGUCAAAAAAAAAAAAAAAAAAAGUACAAAGUAAUUAUACAAAGAUUUUAAAGCAGGAAAAAAAGCCCCAUCAGUACAAGUUGCCCCAGAUACCUGGUUAUUUAAAGGUAUAACACGCUUAACAUUCUAGAUAUUACUAAACAUUAUCUUCAAGUAACAGCAUAGAAACAAGGAGUUUGAUACCAAAAAGAUGUUUCUUUGCCUGUGUGAAUUUUUAUACCUAUUGUUUUUGGCUGUUGUUUACUGUUUUAAGAGCGAAGAAAAUGUUGCCUGAAAUUAUGGAUACCUUUGUUUUUUGUUAUGGACUCCUCUGAUAAUGAGUUUGAACACCUCAAUGCAUUUCACAAUUAGUUGAAUUGUUUUCCCUGUCAUUUCCAAUUAUUCUUACCAUUAAAAUGUCCAUGACAAACCACCGGAAUAGAACUUCCAACAUUCCGAUGAAAUCUUCAGUACAUCACCAUAAUCAAGCAUGUCAAACACAAACAGUGUUUACACUACCA